GACGAACGCUGGCGGCGUGCCUAACACAUGCAAGUCGAACGGGGUGUCGGGAGCUUGCUCCUGACACUUAGUGGCGAACGGGUGAGUAACGCGUGAGGAACCUGCCUUUCAGUGGGGGACAACAGUUGGAAACAGCUGCUAAUACCGCAUAAGCGCACAGUACCGCAUGGUACAGUGUGAAAAACUCCGGUGGUGUGAGAUGGACCCGCGUCUGAUUAGCUAGUUGGUAAGGUAACGGCUUACCAAGGCGACGAUCAGUAGCCGGCCUGAGAGGGUGAACGGCCACAUUGGGACUGAGACACGGCCCAGACUCCUACGGGAGGCAGCAGUGGGGGAAUAUUGGCACAAUGGAGGAAACUCGUGAUGCAGCGA
rnacentral:rRNA from 1 species